rnacentral:tRNA from 2 species
UUGGGGUAUGGGGUAAUUGGCAGCCCGACUGAUUCUGGUUCAGUUAGUCCAGGUUCGAGUCCUGGUACCCCAGCGCG